GGAGCUCUUCUUGGAUGUUGUGAAAAUUGUGCGGAAGCUAUGGAUUGAAAUGGGCAAGAUCCUCCUAGGAGUUGUGGUGAUCUUGAAGGUGCAUGAUGAGUAUGGAAGAAGGGAGGUUCGGUCAGCCCUUUGAUAGAUGGUGAAGAUGAAGAUUAGGUCCUAGAAACUAGGCAAAAGCAAUGUAUGGCACAAUGUGGACAGCAUAACAUUACUCUCAUUAAUCUUGAAAAUACAAGUGAUGGGCUUCUCCUUUUAUAGGCUAAGGAGGCUGUAAAUCCUAAGCUAAGAGAAGAUGAAAUGUGAGCCAAAUGAAAUGAGAGGCACAUGGGCACAUGGAGCACAUGGGUGCACAUGGGCACAUGGAGCACAUGGGUGCACAUGGGUUCACAUGGGUUCCAAAACCGUCCCUUGAUUAGUGAAGGCUUCUAGAAACCUUUAGCUAAUCAAGGUUAACUCCUCCUUAAUUCUAAUGUGCAGAAAAAUAACAUUUGUCCACAUGGCUAUGCUAUUUACACCCCAAUUAAAGCUAAACUACACUUGAUGGGCCUUCACGGAAUAUGUACUAGUAUGUCACUCUUCCAUUCAUAGCUUGAUCCAAGUCUUCUUGUCCUAUACGCUCCUAGCUUGUCCUAGACGCUCCAAGCUUGGCCUUCUUGUCCUAGACGCUCCUAGCUUGUCCUAGACGCUCCAAGCUUGGCCUUCUUGUCCUAGACGCUCCAAGCUUGGUCUUAGACGCUCUUGACUUGGCUCUUGCCUUUCAUGGAAGGUUGUGCUUGGCCCUCUUCCAUCACAUCCUCUCUGACCACCGCCCCCUGAUCACCGAUCACCACCCUGGGUGACUUUCUCAAUGACUCAUCUGCUUCCCUGGCCCACGUGUUCCACUAAGAACGGUCCACGUGGCUAUCUGUUGCUGAUGUCACCGAUUAUCGAUGACUGACCGGAUCAUAAGGUAAAUAGUAUUUAAGAUAAAAUCAAAAUAUCUAAAAUUCAAAUAACAACAGAAUAAUAUUGGCCAUCAG
rnacentral:lncRNA from 1 species